rnacentral:rRNA from 1 species
AUUGAACGCUGGCGGCAGGCCUAACACAUGCAAGUCGAACGAGUGUCGGACGUGUGUGUAAUGUCUUUGAAGCUGCCAGAUGGUUGGGGAUAACUACUGGAUACGGUCUCUCAUUCCGCAUGCCCUCCGAUGUGCCCAGAUGGGAUUAGCUUGUUGGUGGGGUAACGGCUCACCUAGGCGACGAUCCCUAGCUGGUCUGAGAGGAUUACCAGGCAAGCUGCAACUGAGACACGGUCAAAGCUCCUACGGGAGGCAGCCGGGGGGAAUGUUGCAGAAUGGGCGCAAGUCAGCAGAAGCGAUGCCGCGCGUAUGAAGAGGGCAAUCGUGUUGUAAAGUACUUUCGGCGUGGAGACGUUACACUCAGAAGAAGAACCGGCUAACUCCGUGCUAGCAGCCGCGGUAAUAC